rnacentral:rRNA from 1 species
ACACGACUACAUUAGAUACCCCGGUAGUCCUAGCCGUAAACGAUACUCGCUAGGUGUCGGCCACGGUGCGACCGUUGUCGGUGCCGUAGGGAAGCCGUGAAGCGAGCCACCUGGGAAGUACGGCCGCAAGGCUGAAACUUAAAGGAAUUGGCGGGGGAGCACAACAACGGGUGGAGCUUGCGGUUUAAUUGGAUUCAACGCCGGAAAUCUUACCAGGACCGACAGCAACAUGAAGGCCAAGCUGAAGACUUUGCCGGAUUAGCUG